AGUUGAAUGAAUUACUGAAGCAAAAGACAUGAUUAAGUUGGAAAAGGUAGCUUCCAGACUGCAAAAUAAUCUGACAGAACGUAAUGAAACAUGGACGCCAGUGGAAAAGUACUUAAAGGUUAACUACCAUUUUUUUUCAACCUGGACCCUAUUUUUCUAUGUUUUUGUCUAAUGCCCUAUUCGCACGGGACUAGUAUUACCUGGUGACCUCCAGUCAUUUGUGAUAAUUACGGAGGUUGUCU